rnacentral:rRNA from 1 species
CCCAAUUAAAAUAUGAUGGCUGCACCGCCAACAGGCGGCAAGGCUGGAGUAUUUUAUUACCCUUGUCUUUUGCGCACUUGUUGUUUCCUGGGCGGGUUCGCCCGCCUCCAGGACCACAUGAUAAACCUUUUUUAUGCAGUUGCAAUCAGCGUCAGUACAACAAAUGUAAAUCAUUUACAACUUUCAACAACGGAUCUCUUGGUUCUGGCAUCGAUGAAGAACGCAGCGAAAUGCGAUACGUAGUGUGAAUUGCAGAAUUCAGUGAAUCAUCGAAUCUUUGAACGCACAUUGCGCCCUUUGGUAUUCCAAAGGGCAUGCCUGUUCGAGCGUCAUUUGUACCCUCAAGCUUUGCUUGGUGUUGGGCGUUUUUUGUCUUUGGUUUUGUCCAAAGACUCGCCUUAAAACGAUUGGCAGCCGGCCUACUGGUUUCGCAGCGCAGCACAUUUUUGCGCUUGCAAUCAGCAAAAGAGGACGGCACUCCAUCAAGACUCUAUAUCACUUUUGACCUCGGAUCAGGUAGGGAUACCCGCUGAACUUAAGCAUAUCAAA